AUUUAUUUCUUUUGACGUUGUCAUUGCUCAGCUGUUUGCUUUACUUUUUUGUUUUUAUUCACAUUUUGUUGGUGAAUUGCUGGCUGACUAUUUGGCCUAACUGCCAAACGACGUCUGCGAAGAUAAGCUUAAUUGAAAAGGCGAAUUAAUUGAAAUUAUGCUACAGAGAAAAUUGCACAAAUUCAGAUGCAUUCAGUUUCUAUUUGAUAAAUGCAAAUGUUAAUUUAGAGAUGCAAGUGGACAUUUGACUAGAUUGCUGGAAUUUUAGAUGCAUGUAAAGCAACUCAAUGCCGGUCUAUGAACGUUCUAUGUAAGUUUAUAAGUACAGACGUGUGCAAUUAAUUAGCAGAACUAUAUGUGCUCACUUCUGGAGAAUAAUCAGUAACUAAAAUAUACAGGGAGCAGGGAAUAAACAACUGGUAUAAGUCUUAUAGAAAGGAAUACUCAAAUAUGGGGGGAAUAUAUAAAGAUCACACCACUUUGAUGAAAUAUUCACCAAUAUAUGUCUCUUGUAAUUAAUUUAACUGGCGAUAAUUUGUUGUACAUACAUAUGUGAAAGUAACCACAAAUUAUUAUUAUAUAUUUGUAAAAUGUUUAAAUUGUAAUUAUAAAUGUUUUCAAAAGCUUUGAUCUUAAAGUUGUGGCAUCGGAGAGUUCUUCGACAGUUUCGAUUUACUCAAUAUUAUUUCCUGGGUUCGAUGAGUUUUUUCAGUAUUUAAAUGUUUUUUACUAGAACAUGCAAUAAGUAACUUUUUGGUUUUUUUUCUAUAUUUUGCCGUAGAGAAAUGGACCCCUUCAACAGGUAUACGUGCUAUGGAUGGAGUUAUAAAUUGCUGAAAUCCGACAUUCGUCUUAAAAAAAAUAUUCUAUGAACUUUAAAAUGAAUUAAACAAUAUUAAUAAGAUGAGUUUGCCUACAAAAAUCGUCGAUAAAGGUGUCAUGGAAAUGAUUUUCAGUACAAUUCAAAUUAAUAUUUUUAUAUCGAAGGCUUUGAAUAUUUAAAAAUAAAGAAAAAUUCAUAAAAUAAUAGUGCACCGAACAUGUCAUGAGAGAAACUAAACUUUAAAGAUAAAAUCUACAUAUUCAUAAUACGGCGGCACCGUCAAAGCAGCAUGUCUGUUGAAAGGAAAAUCACCACGAACUUCAGAGAAAUAGGUCACUAAAUUUUGGUGCUCAAUUAUUACUGAGUUAUUGUUGUGUUUUUAUGUAUUCAAUGGGAAAUGUGAGCAGCACAUCCGUUCCACCAGCCAUGCCACCGCAUAAAAUACUUUUCCAUCUUUUAUCACCCAUUAUAAAUUACAAAUAAAUUGAUUUACUUCACAAUUUUUAACAAACGUAUGUUUCCGAAAUGUUGUUUGCUAAUACAUCAUUUAAUAUUUUUUUUUAAUUUCUUACAUAAUUUUUCGAGAGUUAUAGUAAUAAUAUCUACGCUUUUAUAAAAUCUAUAUGCUUUGUUAUCACAAAUGUAUUAUCUAAUAUAAAAGUUAUAAAUUAUUUCGACUACGUAAACAAAUACCAGCUGAUUCUAUUUCGUUAGUGAUGGAAGAAAUAAAAAGAAAUAAUUUACACUCGUAAAAAUAUAUCAAGCAAACGUGAAUAAAAUUUUGUAAAAUACAUAAUAAACAUAAUACAUAACAACACGUGAAUAAUGUUCAUUCAAUACAAAUAAUUUACGAGUUCUUCCAUAAAGUUUCAAAAAGCAUCGUAAAACUUUUAUUAUUAACAUCGAUAUAAAUACAUGCUUUGAAAAUCGAUUUCCCGAUAUCGAAUCAUCAUUUCUUCCAGCUGAUUGCUAUAGACUUAAUCGUAACCAUAACCAUAUCAUAUUUUUUACAGUUAAUUACAAUGAAAAUAAAUAUAAAUAAAUAAAUAAAGAAUCUAUAGUAGCAAAUGGUGAAAAGAUUUAAUACAAAUUACCCCUAUCUUCGUGAUAAUUAUGAUUAAGGCAAUGUCGUUUGUUGCAACAUUUAAAUUUAUUUGAUUAACUUAAGCCAAAAAUUUAAAAAUUGUAAAUACAAUGUAACUUCUCUAUCUCGAAUCACCAUAAUCCACAAAAAAACUUCGAGUUAGAGAGACUUCGAGUUAUAGAGAGUUCCAUUAAAACAUAAAUUUCCUCAAAAACUGUAAAAUAUAGAUUUAUGGUUUUAUUUAUUUACAUCGUAUAAAGUUGUAUGUACAUAUGUAUGUAAUUUUGAUUGUUGCAGUUUGCUAUUGUUGGCACUCGACGUCUGUAUCCCAUGAUUUAUGCAAUCCAUAAGUGUAAUAUUAUAGUUUUUGUUCGCAUCCAUACGAUAUUGAGGAAUUCUUUUAAUAUUCUGCAUCGAUAGUAAAAUUUUAAAUUUUGUAUUAUACCCUCGUCGAAAAGUACGAUUUAUGGAAGGAAAUUGGACUUCUAUUGUCAAUUCAAAAGUUUGAGUUAUGGAGAUCUACGAUUUAUAGAAGUUUCACUGUAUUUUAAAUGAAUAUUAGUAUAAAAUGUAAGCCAGAAAACACCCGAAACAACCAUUUCACAUUUUUUAUUUCCAUUAAAAUCCAUUUUAUUCAUUUAAUAAAGUUUAUUUUGAUGCAAAAGUUUACUCACUUUUCACAGUCGUAAGUUUUGUGCUUAAAUGUGUAUCAAUAAUACAAUUUUUGAAUUCAAAUAUAAAUACAUUUAAAUGUAUUAGCAAAAAAUAGUUUACUUUCUUUAAAUGCUUAACAGUACAAUAUUAGUUAAUUGUUAUUCUAUAACAAACUAAUAGUUUAGUAACGGUUAUGCAUUAAUUAAUUCAAAAUUUUUCAGUCAAAUAAUAUUGGAAUACGCAAAAACCAAAAAUAUAUCUUGAUGUAUAUGUUGUCAUAUAAAGUGCAAAAUAUUGAUGAUAUUUAGUAUUUCAAUUCUUAAUUCUCGCAAGAUGUGGCAUUAUUAAUUUAAAUAUAUUUUUUAACUAUUUGUUGCUAUGGUAUGCAAUUAACAGUGCAUUUAGACAGCCUUGUACACUCUGACGGAUUUGACGUUGUUGAUGGUGAGGGUCUAUGGAAAGAAGUUGUUAAAAUUAAUUUUACUAAUUGAAAUUAUAUUUUAUAAAGCUUUAGUACACUUACAGUCACCAAUUCGGAGUCGGUGAAUUCACGCACAAUGCUUGAGGGUUUGUCACCCUUCUGUUCCUGCACUAGGGUGUUGCCAUUCAAAGUAAUGAUGCUCUUCACCUUACGACCAUCAAGUGUCUCUUCAUCGAAUUCCUCGCCCAGUUUAAAGUUGAUAGACGAUGUCUUGAAUGUGGAGGUAGUGGUGAAAGUGUAAGUCUCACCAUCCUUCU